AUUGAACGCUGGCGGCAGGCUUAACACAUGCAAGUCGAACGAGUGGCGGACGGGUGAGUAAUGCUUGGGAAUCUAGCUUAUGGAGGGGGAUAACUACUGGAAACUGUAGCUAAUACCGCGUACCAUAGGAUGAGCCCAUGUGGGCAUAGGUAGUUGGUGAGGUAAAGGGUCACAAAGCCGACGAUCUCUAGCUGGUCUGAGAGGAUGACCAGCCACACUGGGACUGAGACACGGCCAAGACUACUACGGGAGGCAGCAGUGGGGAAUAUUGCGCAAUGGGGGCAACCUGACGCAGCCAUGCAGCGUGAAUGACAAAGGCCUUAGGGUUGUAAAGUCCAUUCGGUAGAGAGGCGUUAACUACAGAAGAAGCACGGGCUAACUCCGUGCCAGCAGCCGCGGUAAUAA
rnacentral:rRNA from 1 species